rnacentral:tRNA from 1 species
GUCAGGGUAGCUCAGCCGGUUAGAGCACGCCACUCAUAACGGCGAGGUCGGGAGUUCGAGUCUCCCCCCUGACA